rnacentral:rRNA from 1 species
GUUGAACUUGAGGUCGGGAGAGGUUAGCGGUACUCCCAGGGUAGAGGUGAAAUUCUGUAAUCCUGGGAGAACCACCUGUGGCGAAGGCGGCUAACUGGAACGAACCUGACGGUGAGGGACGAAAGCCAGGGGCGCGAACCGGAUUAGAUACCCGGGUAGUCCUGGCCGUAAACGAUGCGGACUUGGUGUUGGGAUGGCUUUGAGCCGCUCCGGUGCCGAAGGGAAGCUGUUAAGUCC